AUUUUACCUUUAAACUUCUAUUUGGCCCAUUCCAGCAGUGGUCGCCGUUUGUAAAUUGCAUAGUUCUGUAGGAAUCCUCAAAUUUAUCCCAGUUCCCCAAACGAGUUGUGCUGUAGCCCUCAACUUGGGUAGCUUCUUUGAAAGGGCAAAUCUUGUAUGUGUACUUGUUCUCCUUGCUCUCAAAACAUUGUCCAUGGAAUGAAUAGAAUUCCUUCUCUGGUCCAAAAUCAUGUUUCAACUUUUGCUUCAAGCUGGAUAGCCUUGAUUCGACUUUUGUCAACUUAGCACUUGCCUCAUCGUACUCUUUGCGUAUCCGGUCAGCAUCAGAUAUGUUCACUGGAGUUUGGAACAAAUUGACAGACCGAAAAAUUCUCUUUACAGUUUGUUGUAUCUUCUCCGUCCAGGAAGGACUAGUUGUGGUGGUAGUAUCUGCAAAAUCAGAAUCGUCAUCAGACUCGGACUUAUAUGAAGAACUUGAAUCAUGGUCCUCUCCAACAGAAUCUUCAACGUGUUCCUCAUUGUCAUCAUCGUCAUACUUGUGUUCAUCAUCGUCAUCAUACUUGCGGUCAUCAGCAUCAGAAUCAUAUCCAUGAUACUCCUCUUCAUGGGUAUCAGAUGGCACCUCAUCAUGGUUAUCAUGGUUAUCAUGGUUACUAUCUGUACCAGCCCCAACUGACACAGUUUCCUGUUCACUCUUUUUUCCUAACCAACGAGAACCAAUAACACGUCCUAACUCUUCCUUUGACAGUGACUCAAUAUUUUCAGCAGCAUCUUUCUCCUCAUUUCUGCUACUAACAUCAGCUUUAUUGUUGUUGGUGGACGACUCCUCUUUUACCUCAGGAUGCUGAGAAGAAUCCUCGGGCGCCUGCUCUACCUCAUCAACCGGAAACUCAUCCUUCACGGAAUGGUCAUCGUGUUGUUCUUCAUCCGCAGCUUUGUCAUGGCCUUCUACGACAUCCUUUAAGGGAGGAUAGUCUUCCAGGAGGCCAAUUUUAUCGUGGAUGUCACUCUUCACAGCUUCUUCGUGAACUUCAGUUUUCUCCUCAAGUUUGCUUGCCUCAAGCUUAGCAUCAUCAGCUUCCUUUCGUUCCUUCUCUUCCUUCUCUCUCUUUAACCGUUCUUCCUCCUCAACCUUCUCUAUUUGUUCUUUUUUGUCCUGAAGCUGCUCAACCCUCCCUUUAAGUAUCUUCUGCUCAUUUUUCAGCUUAGAGACUUCAGUUUCCUCUUUUGCUAUUGCAAGUUUAGCUUCUUCGAUCUCCUUCUUCCUUAUAGUUAUACCUUCCUGAAAUGUUGCAAUUUUUUUCUUCAAUUUAUCUCUAGCUACUCUGCCGACCUCCCAACAUGUAUUUGGGCACUUAACUUUACCAUCAUGCUCAUCACUCCCAUCGCAACAAUCACAAAUGCCAUCAUUCACCCUAGAUGAGUAUAUGAAGAGAGGAGCAUGCCCUGCAUUUUUGCAAUAAAACUUCCCGCUCGGACAUGCCGAAGUUCCUGGCUCAUCAGACCCAUCUGGACAGUCACAAAAAUCAUCAUUGAGCUGAGCCUUGGUGAAUUUCUUCGACCCAUCUUUACAAUUUAUAGCACCAGAUGAUAAACCCUUGUAAUAAUUCUCAUCUUCCGGGGCAAUUCCGAGGUUGACUAAAGAAGGAAGAGACACAGAUCUAUCGAUUGAAGAUAUGCAGAAGAUACAAGAGAGUAAAAAAACGAAUUGAAAUCGUAAUUCCAUUUUCCUUCACCAAAAUACGCAAUUCGAAAACUAAAUCUAAAUCAGCAUUAAUUUUCAAUACACAGCAAAAAUUGUAUGAAUCGAACGAGAUUUGCAGUGGCUAACUGAUUGUAUAGUGAGAAGACUAUGAAGCUUUGGGCCAAUGAAGAGUAUUUCUUAG
rnacentral:misc_RNA from 1 species